rnacentral:lncRNA from 1 species
ACACACAUACACACAUACACACACAUACACACAUACACACACAUACACACACAUACACACACAUACACACACAUACACACACAUACACACACAUACACACACAUACACACAUACACACACAUACACACACAUACACACACAUACACACAUACACACAUACACACAUACACACACAUACACACAUACACACAUACACACAUACACACAUACACACACACCUGGCCAAUGGUGAUGUCAGGGCGGCCAAAGUCCACGGCGGG